UAUUCCCAAUUAUAACAGUCACAGUUUUAUCCGGUAAAGCGAAUGAUUAGAGGUCUUGUGGCCGAAACGAUCUCAAGGUAUUCUCAAACUUUAAAUGGGCAAGAAGCCCUGCUCGCUGGCUUGGAGCCGGGCAUUGAAUGCGAGCACGCCUAGUGGGCCACUUUUGGUAAGCAGAACUGGUGCUGCAGGAUGAAUCGAACACCAGGUUAAGGUGACCGAUGCCGACGCUCAUCAGACCCCAGAAAAGGUGUUGGUUGAUAUAGACAGCAGGACGGUGGCCAUGGAAGUUGGAAUCCGCUAAGAAGUGUGUAACAACUCACCUGCCGAAUCAACUAGCCGUGAAAAUGGAUGGCGCUGGAGCAUCAGGCCCAUACCCAGGCGUCGCCAGGUCAGUCCGCGGGGGCUAGGUAGCGACGAGUAGGAGGACCGCUGCUGUGGCCGCGGAAGCCUGGGCGAGAGCCCGGGUGGAGCCGCCGCGGGUG
rnacentral:ncRNA from 1 species